rnacentral:misc_RNA from 1 species
CUCGGAGACAUUCUCUUCCAGA